CUCCUACGGGAGGCAGCAGUGGGGAAUAUYGCACAAUGGGCGAAAGCCYGAUGCAGCAACGCCGCGUGAGUGAUGAAGGCCUUCGGGUYGUAAAGCUCYGUCUUYGGGGACGAUAAUGACGGUACCCAAGGAGGAAGCCACGGCUAACKRSGKGSCAGCAGCCGCGGUAAUACGUAGGUGGCAAGCGUUGUCCGGAUUUACUGGGCGUAAAGGGUGCGUAGGCGGACCUUUAAGUGAGAUGUGAAAUCCCCGAGCUUAACUUGGGGGCUGCAUUUCAAACUGGAGGUCUAGAGUGCAGGAGAGGAGAGUGGAAUUCCUAGUGUAGCGGUGAAAUGCGUAGAGAUUAGGAAGAACACCAGUGGCGAAGGCGACUCUCUGGACUGUAACUGACGCUGAGGCACGAAAGCGUGGGGAGCAAACAGGAUUAGAUACCCUGGUAGUCCACGCCGUAAACGAUGGGCACUAGGUGUAGGAGGUAUUAACCCCUUCUGUGCCGAAGCUAACGCAUUAAGUGCCCCGCCUGGGGAGUACGGCCGCAAGGCUAAAACUCAAAUGAAUUGACGG
rnacentral:rRNA from 1 species